GAUGAAGAACGCAGCGAAAUGCGAUAAGUAAUGUGAAUUGCAGAAUUCAGUGAAUCAUCGAAUCUUUGAACGCACAUUGCGCCCCCUGGUAUUCCGGGGGGCAUGCCUGUCCGAGCGUCAUUACAACCCUCAAGCUCAGCUUGGUAUUGGGCCCCGCCGACCCGGCGGGCCCUAAAGUCAGUGGCGGUGCCGUCCGGCUCCGAGCGUAGUAAUUCUUCUCGCUCUGGAGGUCCGGUCGUGUGCUCGCCAGCAACCCCCAAUUUUUUUCAGGUUGACCUCGGAUCAGGUAGGGAUACCCGCUGAACUUAAGCAUAUGAAUAAGCGGAGGA
rnacentral:misc_RNA from 1 species